CUUUAUGGCGGCUGUGUGCGGGAGAUCUUCGGAUCUGCCGAGUUCUCGUAUCUUCGGUCUGCGAACCCGCGCAUAGCUGCCACCCAA
rnacentral:antisense_RNA from 1 species